rnacentral:rRNA from 1 species
AACGAACGCUGGCGGCAGGCCUAACACAUGCAAGUCGAGCGCCCAGCAAUGGGAGCGGCGGACGGGUGAGUAACGCGUGGGAAUUUUUCCUGGAGUACGGAACAACCGAGGGAAACUUCGGCUAAUACCGUAUGAUGCCGAGAGGCCAAAGAUUUAUCGCUCUGGGGUGAGCCCGCGUCAGAUUAGGUAGUUGGUGGGGUAAAGGCCUACCAAGCCUGCGAUCUGUAGCUGGUCGAGAGGACGAUCAGCCACACUGGGACUGAGACACGGCCCAGACUCCUACGGGAGGCAGCAGUGGGGAAUCUUGCGCAAUGGGCGAAAGCCUGACGCAGCCAUGCCGCGUGAGUGAAGAAGGUCUUAGGAUUGUAAAGCUCUUUCGCUCGUGACGAUGAUGACGGUAACGAGAGAAGAA